UACCUUAGGUUUUAUUGUACACCUAGAAUUCGACAGAUUGGACUGAUUGCUGCCUGGAAACCUUUUCCCAAAUUGUACUGUGUCUUAAAUACGCGGACAAGGGAUUGCCUGACAUCAGACUCCCUGAAGUCUGAUCCAGGUUGACAAAGUCAAUCCGCUCCAGGUUUUCAUUCUUUCUCCACAGUUUUUUCCCUCCUGUCUGACCUUCUCAGAAACCUUCAAAAACUGAAGAUGAAAACAAUUGUUUAACAUGCAGGUGAUCUACUGGAGAGUGGAAUACAAAAGAGCAGUCUGUCCUUGAAAAACCGGUUCUACUUCACCAAUAAUCAAGGCAAAGCAAAUUGUACAGCAUCAUUAUGGCCAGAGCGAAUAGGUAGCCAUCUUAGUGUUCUGUGGCUGUGAAGAGACACCAUGACCACAGCAACUCUUAUAAAGGUAGAAAGCCUCUUCGGGACCCUGAAUAACUGGGUCCCCGCUGGCGGGGACAAGUGGCGCCUGAACAGGGACCCCGAAGCAAGGCCGACUACAGGACGACGGAGAUAAGAGAGCUGCAGUGGGAAUUGAGGACUCUUCAGGCCGUAUAGCUCGUGCGUCCGCUGGAGAGGGAGGUAAGGACCGGUCGAAUAAUUGUCGUCUAAUUGCCAUGGGGAAGGUAUGGAUUUAGGAGGCUUGUUUCAUAGGAGAGAUCAAGCGCUCACUCAGGGAGAGAGGAUUAAGAGUUAAGAAAAAGGAUUUAAUCAAGUUCUUUUGUUUUAUUGAUGAAAAGUGUCCCUGGUUAAUUUUAAGUGAAUUUUUUUUUGUCUUUGUGUGAGAAACUUGUCCUUGGUUUAUUAUUGAAGGAGCAGAAAUUAAUUCCUAUAGUUGGAAUAAGGUUGGAAAGUGUUUAAAUGUCUUAAUGUAAGAAAAAGGAUCCUAGGCGGUUCCGAUUCAGGAGGUAGUGUCUGUGUCUUUGUGUCUUUGUAUUUUGUGCCGGCUAAAGUCUGGGUCUGUAGUUGCUCUCGAGUUCUGGAGUUCUGGAGUUCUGGUUUUGCAGAUGCUCCCAUCUCAGGCUGAGAGGGAGGAUCGUGUCUCAGGAGAGACGCAAAUGUGAGCGGUAGAUGUGCCAGGGACUCACCGAUUGCGCUGCCCUGGGAGAUGUCCCAGGAGGUAAGAAGGGACCCCAGGGACACCUGGGAGAUUCCCGUCUGGGUGCCGGUGAGGAUUCGGCCAUUCUCAUGGAUUGGAGAAAAGACCCGCCUUUCCGGCUGUCUGUAUUUCCAGAGUGGUCUUUGUCUGUGUGUCUUAGGUCUUUGUUUUGUGUUGCUUGUGACUUUGACAAUGGGAAGAUUCUGGUUGGGAAGGAGGAGUAAUGUGGAAUCUGCUCCUGUUCAUCUGUCUUUGCUGAGCUCAUGGAAGCUCCCAUCUGAAUCAGCUCAGUUUUGUGGCAAUCUUGUGGCAGCCGCUUGAUUUUUGUUUUGUGCGCACUGUUGGUUUUUUUUGUCUGUUAAUAUUUUGGUUGUCUUUCUAUGUGACUAAAUGCUUUUGCCCUCUUCAGCAGACCUCUAUUUUCUGGACUCUCUUCUUGUUUUCUCACCAUCCCACUUGGGAUGCUUGUUAGUGGCUGUUACAGGAAAUCUAUAAUGCUCACUUGAGUGUGCUCGAGAAGCUAGAAUUUCAGGUUUGCCCUGGGUUCCUUUGGGAUAGGUGUGGGGAUAGGCUUGAUUUCUAUUGCAAAUGAUGUCACAUUGCAUAUGUUAGUACUCCUAACACUUCUUGGGACUGUGCCUCUGGGAUCACAACCUGUAUAAGUUUAGAAGUUCUAAAAGGCAGUCAUGACCUUUGUGUGUAGGUUCAGAUAGUGUCCAGAUUGGAAUCCUGAUUCUAAAGACUUAGUAAGACACAAAAGAGAGUUGAAAAUUACUAAGGGCUAUCUUAAGGCGGAGUCCAGCUAGGUGCUGCAAGGACAUCUGCUGUUGCCCUGCAACACAAGGCUUAUGGAGAUAAAGCUUCAGUUGUGUCAAUACAGAAUUGUAGGCUAGAGUCUUGAAAGUAUUUAAAAAAAAGAAACCUGGUAAAACAUAUCUUAUUCCAAACAGCAAUUAAAUUGGUUAUUACAAAAUAAUGAUAUUUGGCCUAUCACAUAUACAAGUUUUUCAGGCAAAGUUGGUAAUUUUACUCUUUGCAUGCUUUUGUACUUCCUAUAAAUUUGUGCAUGCAACCCAUAGGAAAUGAGCUUACUGUAUUAUAGGUGGUUCAUCUAAUGAAACGGCUACAUGUAUGAUUGGAUCACUUGUUUAUUCUCUUCAGUUUCCCCUGCUUCAGCACAGAUUAUUAAAUUACGUGCUGUAGCCACUGUUUUUAAAAUUAAAAGAAAAUCAAGCUUUCAAUUCAUAUACUGAUAGCCAAUGUAUGGCUUAUGGUUUACAGUUGAUAAAAAAGUUUCCCUUUUUAGAUACUACUAGCCCUCAAAUUAUACAAUUACUUAAUGCUAUAUUAGAGGCAGGUUUUCUACUUGAAAUCAGUGAGUGAUGAUUUCUGUGUAAAUGUCUGACAACUCACUGUCCUUUCAGUGCUCUGGCUCAGACAACUAAACAAAACCAUAGACCCAGCUCGUUGAAAAUGGUAAUGGAGUUGAUAACACUCCCUUACAAAAAGAGGAAGACUCCAUUUGCUUACUUUUAACUCCCAUCCUCACCUUACCAGCUCAGGUAUUUCUAGUACGACAGUAUCUGGAUGCUUAUGUUUAGGUAAAUAAAGCUGGUGAGGGGCUGGAGUGAUGGCUUAGUGGUUAAGAGCACUAAGUACUGUUCCUUUAUAGGCCAUUUAAGAACUCAAACUGGAUUGCCUGGACCCCUUAGCAAGGGAGGACAAUGAUACCAGGCAGAUUAUAGGCCUUACAUAGGAACAGUUAGUCAAAAAAAAAUCUCAUUCUUUAUAUAUCCAAAACAAUAAUGCUGGAGACAAUAAUUUGGUAUAAAAGUCAAUAUAUAAAUACAAGUGCUCAGUGUCCUCAAUUUAAUCCUCAAGGACUUAUCUUAAUAAAUAAUAUUUUAACAAUAUUUUAAUAAAUAAAAAAGGGGAGUUAUCCCUGUAUGCUAAAAUAUGCUCCUUUUAUUUCAAUUUUAAAAUUUGGAUGCCAAGGAACACUCUGUGUUUAUGACACCCUACAACUAGGCAUACUUCUGCCUAGGUGAAAUAGAAAGAUCCACAUAUUGGCAUGAUCCUGUUCAGAUAUUUUAUAUGGGGAAGAGGGAAUCUUUGUGUUUUUUCUACAGGAUGCUACAGGAGUGUGCCAGCUGCCCGAGUGCCUGGUGAGACUUGCUGAUCCUGGGAGCAUGAAGAUUCAGCUCUUGUGGUUCAGGUCCCUGAAGUCAUUCCUCUGCCCUGAGAGGAAGGUGGAAGAUUCCCCCUCAUCUUUUGUCAUCACAGAGAUUUUGGCGUUUCUGCAGUCAGUGUUACCACUGCGUGUGUCCCAUCCCACCUCGGCCUGCGCUCCGACCCUCUGUGCACUGCUGCUUGCUGGAAGCUGCUGUGGACUGGCGAACUCUGCCCUGGUUCUGCAGAUCUCAGACAUGGUUCCGUUGCCUGCUGCUUGUUCCAGAGAAGAAUGACUGAUCCUGAACUGUCCUGGGAAAGACCUUGACAUUUCGCUGCUAUUGUAGCAGCCAUUACUGCUGCAGCCAUUGGGUCUGCAGUGUCUGGAGUUACCUGCCCCCCAAUCUAUUGUUAGGCAAGCACAGUGGGUGAACUUUCUGGAGUAGUUGCUAACAAUUGGGAAUUCUAAAUUUUAAUACAGGAGAGGCUUGACUAGGCCCUUGGUGGUAUGGCCAUAGCAGCUGAGGAGAACCAGAUGAGGUGCCCACUACUUAUCGGGAGAGGCUCAUUUCCACAAUCUCUUAUAUUACUGCCAUCUGGCUCCUACUCUUUCGCCCCUGGGCUCAAGUAAGAGGAAUGAGAAGAUGACCCAAUGUAGCUAUCCUCAGGGACGGGCAACUUCCUCUGACCCUUGACCAAUCUAAGACAUGGUCCCUUGGGGGCGACAAGGUGAUCCUAUGACAGAUAAGGCUGGGGUUCAAGAGGUCGAUCCUAAGACAGAGGUGGCUACACCCCGUUUAAAUGUACGGGCCGGUCAAAUGCUCCUCUGCCCAGUUUCUCCCCCAAUAACACACACGUAUAGCCCAGAACGGUGUGUUGCAGCAUAAGUUCAUUCCUAGCCAUUGGGGUGUAGUCCUAACUGCAAGAGUGGCUUGCCAUGGCCGAGCUGGGCACUCUGUGAGGCAUGUCUGAUCUAUCUCAGACCACUACUUCCACCUAAUGGUCCUUUUUUUAAAAAAGAAUAACGGGGGAGAUGCAGUGAGCCAUAUUGGAUUUGGGCCUGGCCGUUUUGUGACUGCAUAACUCAAGGUGGCUACUUGACUCUGGCCUGCAUGGCCACAGAGGUUUAACCUUGAAAUGACUGCCAUACAGACUUGAGAUUGUUGAACUAAGAGCCUCUCCCAGGAAGACCCUGGGAGCAAUGACAGGAUGUUUCAGCCUGAGCAAAACACCGGAUGUCCCUGAGCAGAUUCCUAAGAAGGGUUCGACCUUUUCAAAGAACAUGUCCCCGGAAGACUGUUGCCUCUUUGUUAUAGGAGGAUAUCUUGCAGUGUAGUGAUUCACCUUAUAUCCUUGGGCACUUCCCAAAGUCCCCCACCCUAAGCUUCAGUUCCCGCUUCUAUUCCUGCCUCAGAGCUUUAAAUGCUGUACAUUUCUCUCAAUAAACGAGACCUUGACAACAGAA